rnacentral:rRNA from 1 species
AUUGAACGCUGGCGGCAGGCCUAACACAUGCAAGUCGAGCGGUAGCACAGAGAACUUGCUCUCGGGUGACGAGCGGCGGACGGGUGAGUAAUGUCUGGGAAACUGCCUGAUGGAGGGGGAUAACUACUGGAAACGGUAGCUAAUACCGCAUAAUGUCGCAAGACCAAAGUGGGGGACCUUCGGGCCUCAUGCCAUCAGAUGUGCCCAGAUGGGAUUAGCUAGUAGGUGGGGUAACGGCUCACCUAGGCGACGAUCCCUAGCUGGUCUGAGAGGAUGACCAGCCACACUGGAACUGAGACACGGUCCAGACUCCUACGGGAGGCAGCAGUGGGGAAUAUUGCACAAUGGGCGCAAGCCUGAUGCAGCCAUGCCGCGUGUGUGAAGAAGGCCUUCGGGUUGUAAAGCACUUUCAGCGGGGAGGAAGGCGGUGAGGUUAAUAACCUCAUCGAUUGACGUUACCCGCAGAAGAAGCACCGGCUAACUCCGUGCCAGCCGCCGCAGUAA